UUGGAGGGCAAGUCUGGUGCCAGCAGCCGCGGUAAUUCCAGCUCCAAUAGCGUAUAUUAAAGUUGCUGCAGUUAAAAAGCUCGUAGUUGAAUUUCGGGACCAUCAUGUCGGUCGUGCCUCGGUACGUACUGGUAUUGUUGGUUUCUCCCUUCUGACGAACCAUGAUGUCAUUUAUUUGGUGUUGUGGGGAAUCAGGACUGUUACUUUGAAAAAAUUAGAGUGUUUAAAGCAGGCUCACGCUUGAAUACAUUAGCAUGGAAUAAUGAAAUAGGACGUUUGAUUCUAUUUUGUUGGUUUCUAGGAUCGACGUAAUGAUUAAUAGGGAUAGUUGGGGGCAUUAGUAUUCAAUUGUCAGAGGUGAAAUUCUUGGAUUUAUUGAAGACUAACUACUGCGAAAGCAUUUGCCAAGGAUGUUUUCAUUAAUCAAGAACGAAAGCUAGGGGAUCGAAGACGAUCAGAUACCGUCGUAGUCUUAACCAUAAACUAUGCCGACUAGGGAUCGGAUGAUGUUAAUUUUUUAAUGACUCAUUCGGCGCCUUACGGGAAAC
rnacentral:rRNA from 1 species